rnacentral:rRNA from 1 species
UACGAAGGGGGCUAGCGUUGUUCGGAAUUACUGGGCGUAAAGGGCGCGUAGGCGGUACUUCAAGUCAGGCGUGAAAGCCCCGGGCUCAACCUGGGAACCGCGCUUGAGACUGGAGAACUAGAGUUCGGGAGAGGAUGGUGGAAUUCCCAGUGUAGAGGUGAAAUUCGUAGAUAUUAGGAAGAACACCAGUGGCGAAGGCGGCUCACUGGUCCGGUACUGACGCUGAGGUCGAAGACGUGGGGAGCAAACAGGG